GCCGGAGUGGCGGAAUUGGUAGACGCGUGGGAUUCAAAAUCCCAUUCUUGCAAGGGAGUAACGGUUCAAGUCCGUUCUCCGGUA
rnacentral:tRNA from 1 species